CACUGAUGAUUUGGUCGCCAACGAGUGGCGGACGGGUGAGUAACACGUAGGUAACCUGCCCAGAAGCGGGGGACAACAUUUGGAAACAGAUGCUAAUACCGCAUAACAACGUUGUUCGCAUGAACAACGCUUAAAAGAUGGCUUCUCGCUAUCACUUCUGGAUGGACUGCGGUGCAUUAGCUUGUUGGUGGGGUAAUGGCCUACCAAGGGCGAUGAUGCAUAGCCGAGUUGAGAGACUGAUCGGCCACAAUGGGACUGAGACACGGCCCAUACUCCUACGGGAGGCAGCAGUAGGGAAUCUUCCACAAUGGGCGCAAGCCUGAUGGAGCAACACCGCGUGAGUGAAGAAGGGUUUCGGCUCGUAAAGCUCUGUUGUUAAAGAAGAACACGUAUGAGAGUAACUGUUCAUACGUUGACGGUAUUUAACCAGAAAGUCACGGCUAACUACGUGCCAGCAGCCGCGGUAAUACGUAGGUGGCAAGCGUUAUCCGGAUUUAUUGGGCGUAAAGAGAGUGCAGGCGGUUUUCUAAGUCUGAUGUGAAAGCCUUCGGCUUAACCGGAGAAGUGCAUCGGAAACUGGAUAACUUGAGUGCAGAAGAGGGUAGUGGAACUCCAUGUGUAGCGGUGGAAUGCGUAGAUAUAUGGAAGAACACCAGUGGCGAAGGCGGCUACCUGGUCUGCAACUGACGCUGAGACUCGAAAGCAUGGGUAGCGAACAGGAUUAGAUACCCUGGUAGUCCAUGCCGUAAACGAUGAGUGCUAGGUGUUGGAGGGUUUCCGCCCUUCAGUGCCGGAGCUAACGCAUUAAGCACUCCGCCUGGGGAGUACGACCGCAAGGUUGAAACUCAAAGGAAUUGACGGGGGCCCGCACAAGCGGUGGAGCAUGUGGUUUAAUUCGAAGCUACGCGAAGAACCUUACCAGGUCUUGACAUCUUGCGCCAACCCUAGAGAUAGGGCGUUUCCUUCGGGAACGCAAUGACAGGUGGUGCAUGGUCGUCGU
rnacentral:rRNA from 2 species